UAGUCCACGCCGUAAACGAUGUCUACUAGCCGUUGGGGAGCUUGUCUCUUUAGUGGCGCAGCUAACGCAUUAAGUAGACCGCCUGGGGAGUACGGUCGCAAGAUUAAAACUCAAAUGAAUCGACGGGGGCCCGCACAAGCGGUGGAGCAUGUGGUUUAAUUCGACGCAACGCGAAGAACCUUACCAACUCUUGACAUCCAGAGAAGUUACUAGAGAUAGUUUCGUGCCUUCGGGAACUCUGAGACAGGUGCUGCAUGGCUGUCGUCAGCUCGUGUUGUGAAAUGUUGGGUUAAGUCCCGUAACGAGCGCAACCCUUAUCCUUAUUUGCCAGCACUUCGGGUGGGAACUCUAAGGAGACUGCCGGUGACAAACCGGAGGAAGGUGGGGACGACGUCAAGUCAUCAUGGCCCUUACGAGUUGGGCUACACACGUGCUACAAUGGCCGGUACAGAGGGCUGCAAACCUGCGAGGGGGAGCUAAUCUCACAAAACCGGCCGUAGUCCGGAUCGGAGUCUGCAACUCGA
rnacentral:rRNA from 1 species